GGCCUGAGAGGGUGACCGGCCACACUGGGACUGAGACACGGCCCAGACUCCUACGCCAGGCAGCAGUGGGGAAUAUUGCACAAUGGGCGAAAGCCUGAUGCAGCGACGCCGCGUGAGGGAUGACGGCCUUCGGGUUGUAAACCUCUUUCAGUAGGGAAGAAGCGAAAGUGACGGUACCUGCAGAAGAAGCGCCGGCUAACUACGUGCCAGCAGCCGCGGUAAUACGUAGGGCGCAAGCGUUAUCCGGAAUUAUUGGGCGUAAAGAGCUCGUAGGCGGUUUGUCGCGUCUGCUGUGAAAGGCCAGGGCUCAACCCUGGUUCUGCAGUGGGUACGGGCAGACUUGAGUGAUGUAGG
rnacentral:rRNA from 1 species